ACCAGUUAUGGAGACAUGGUGCCCAAAACGAUUGCUGGCAAGAUAUUUGGCUCCAUUUGUUCCCUGAGCGGGGUGCUUGUCAUUGCUCUCCCAGUCCCAGUUAUUGUUUCCAAC